AAGGUGGACAAGGAGGACAUUGUCUCCCACAUCUUGGCCGAGCUCGAAGAAGACUUUGAUCCCGUGGUCUCCGCCAUGUGCUCCUGGGUGGAACCGGUCACCAUGGCUGAGCUGUUCUCGCAACUGCUCAGCUUCGAGA
rfam:Triticum aestivum genome assembly, contig: Triticum_aestivum_CS42_TGACv1_scaffold_640707_T_7DL-0.181729_3DL-0.112766